UACGUAGGGUGCAAGCGUUGUCCGGAAUCAUUGGGCGUAAAGCGCGUGUAGGCGGUUCGAUAAGUCUGCUGUGAAAGUCCAGGGCUCAACCCUGGGAUGCCGGUGGAUACUGUCGAGCUAGAGUACGGAAGAGGCGAGUGGAAUUCCCGGUGUAGCGGUGAAAUGCGCAGAUAUCGGGAGGAACACCAAUUGCGAAGGCAGCUCGCUGGGACGUCACUGACGCUAAGACGCGAAAGCGUGGGGAGCAAACAGG
rnacentral:rRNA from 1 species